GAAAGAAAACUAAAAGAAGGGUUGAGUGGCUGAGUUAAUAGUUUAGUUAGCCAAUCUGUUCAAACAUUACUACUCUCUCUCUCUCUCAAUCACCAUUAUUAACAGAAGGAAGAAAGGCCAAAAUCUACUGUUGUAAUCAGAGAUCUGCAGAGGAAGGCAGCUGGGUUUAGGUUAUUUGGCCAGUGUUUCAGGUAGGAGAGUUUCAUCCAUCUUUGUUGGAAUCGAGGGUUGCAGAUGCAGGCAAUAGAUGCAUUUAUGUAUCUAAUAAUCAUCAGAAUGCUUUAUAUCUCAAAUGGGGACAUCUGCAUAUGGAGAUAGGAGGGUUUCAUCCAUCUUUGGUUGAAUCAAGGGGGGGGUCUGCUUGCCUGCAAUCAGAAUUGCCUAUGUUGAAUGGUUGCAGACUAUGGUUAAUGAUGUAAGUAGCAGUUGGAUGUCUGCAACAUGUGAAGGAAAGGGAGGAGGGAUAUGUGCAUCUCCUUUUUGGAUUGUGACCUACCCUGCAUGCCAGGCUUGUAGCAUUUUAGAUCACAAGUAAUGUUGCAGUUUAUAGGGGGUUUCAUUACACAAGUAGAAGCUGUAUAACUUGCAGUGACCAAACAACCCAAAAUGAAUAUGGAGAAUUUUCCGAUCAACCUCGGAUAUCAGAGUCUGAUUUCUUUUUUGUACAUGUCGGAACUCUGGCUCGGUGAAAAAUUGCUGUACAUGAGAUGCAAUGAUUUCAUUUCCUGUAUUGAGCUAUUGGAGUUAUCAAUUGAUUUUUCUGAGCUUCUUAUUUGAAAGAAACACAACAAUUUUGAGAGUGAUCAGACCUCCAAAUUCAUUUCAAAAGAGAUUAUGUCUGCUAAAACAAUCGACUAUUAAGUCUUGACCUUUUCUUGGUUUGAAGGGCAAUUUGGAGGAGCCUCCGUCAAAAAAGAGGAGAAAUCAAGAAGGAGAUACAGAAAAAUCACACCUGCCUGAAAUGUCUCAGAUAACAGAUAAUAGAGAAAGUUACACAAUCUUUAGUCUUAACUAUUUAGGUAUAUUUAUUGUACAUAAGAUCCGAAAAAAAAGGAAAAGAUAGGAAGAAGGUGAGGGAACAGGACACACAAACAAAUCUAUCUUGACCUAGAUAUCUUACAUUCUUGGUGUUGUCACGAGGCGGUAUUGGUACUUAAUAGGAUAUCUGCUUUCUUCGUGUCACAGGACUUUUGCAUCGUAUCACCAGCCUCCCUAGGCCUGGACCUGCAACUAGCUUUCUUUGCCAUUUCUUCUCUACAAGCAUAUGCAGUUACAGAGAAGAGUUGGAGAAAGACAAGAGCCAUACUUGUGUAGAAACUGGGGUGUGCAUGAGUGAGGGGUGCGGGUUGCUCCCAAACACAAAGUACUGCAUGUUCUCCUCAGCAAGAUCUCUAAGUCUGUCAAGUUCUGGCAGUAUGACCAUUGCAAGAUCUGGUCGAUCCUUCCGUCUGAGCUCUGCACACUUCAGUGCCAACUUGGCUAACCUUAAUGCUUCCUCAACUGGCCAAUCUGGUACUGAUUGGUCCAACAUCUCUGUGAACGUUCCUCUCUCAAUUGCACGCUCCAUAUAGUGUGCCAACCCCAUGGGAGAUUUGCUAGUGAUAAUUUGCAACAAUAUGAUUCCAAGAGAGUAUAUAUCAGACUUUACACCGAGCAUGCCAGUUUGCUGAUACUCCGGGUCGAUAUAGCAGAAUGUGCCAGCAGUGGCUGUCAUGCAAUACUGGGUGGUAUGGUCUGCUGCAGUUGGUGGAACCAACCGGGCAAGUCCAACAUCGCUGAUCUUGCUGACGUAAUUCCUGUCAAGGAGGAUGUUGGCAGGCUUAAGGUCUCUGUGAACCAGUGGCUCUGGUUUAGUCUGGUGUAGAAAGAGGAGGCCUGUGCCAAUCUCUGCAGCAAUCCGGAACCUAUGCUGCCAAGGAAUGGGUGGUGUAUUCCCUCGCCUGAAUAAGCAAUCUUCCAAGCUUCCAUUUGCCAUGUACUCAUACACAAGGCAGCCAUGUUCUGGGCAAGCGCCCAGCAGUAGAACCAUAUUUGGAUGUCGGAUGCAGCAUAAUAUUUCAACCUGUGUAUGGGAGAUGAUACAAUAAAAAUGUUACACAUAUACACCUAUAUGACUCGAUGUGCUAAUUGCUGCAUUUUGCAUAGAUAGUGCUUGCUCUGAAUCAUCUGGACGCAGAACCUUAAUGGCAACGGGCGUAUGAUCCAGAUAACCUCUGUAAACAGGUCCAUAACCACCUUCUCCAAUUUUCCUGUCCUGUGCAUAAUGCGUUGCAGCUCCAUUGCCUGCAGCAAAGGCAUCGUCUGAAAACAAGUUCAAUCUUUGUGACAGCAAUGGAUAAAUUACCUUCUGUUUAGCUGUCAGUGCUUCUCUGCGUGCUGUGCUGUACAUGUCCAUGGUUUGCUUGAGUUCUAAUCUCAGCCUGUUCAGCUUAGCUUCAACAUCUUCCUGAAAUUUCAAAGAUUCCGUGGAGCAAAUGCAGCUUCACUUGGCAUUAGGAAAUUCCGAUCUUCAGGAACAGAAGUAGCAAAAAACUUGUGUUAACAGGGGAAAAGAAGAGACUGCAAUGGUACCUAUACUGAUGGCAACACAGACCUUUCAUGUCAUUCUUGUGACUAUGGUCCAGUGAGUCAGGUCUAACACUUGAAAGGCCUUGGAUUUGCUUCUGGAGAAGAGAGAAGGCUGGAGCUGGCCGGACGGCAUUCUUCACGGAGGAUACCUUCCCCUUAUGGAUGAGGUAGACAGUACAGAAAUCAGGCACACCUUUGUAGAUAUUGGUACUGAUGUCUGAGUUUCUGAAUGAUCUGAGGAAAAUAUGACAGAGUUGGUGUUGAAAGACAUAUUUUUCAGCCCAAACAGAUUUCGACUUUAGUUGUAGAAGUGCUCAAGUGAUUUAAGAUCACCUGACAAAUCCACCUCUUGAUGAUGAUGAACCAACCACUAGCUUUUCAAUUGCAGCAUCAGCAACGAACCCUAUGAUCGCUUUGGCAACAUCAGUGUCUUCAAGUAUGACAUCUUUGUUAUAUACCUGUUGAGGAAUACUCAAAUUCGAUAUCCGUAAGUUAGUGCAUGAAUUGGGUGAUCAGCUGGAAUCUGUUCAAAGAAGGAAGCAGAAGAAGAAAUUGUCCAUGCUGUGGAUUUUCUCGAGUCGGUGACAAUGUCAACUACCCUUCACCAGGGCUUCCUCAAUGAGGAAAGGACCAGCAGGUUCAUCAUCAUUUGUGGGGCUAUGGAAGUGGUCUUAACAUUGAAAUUUUUGGAUGUAACCGCAAGGUAUCUUCAUCGAUCCUAAACUCAUCACCUUCUCGAAAAGGAACAGCAGAUUCGUCACCACAUUCGAAAAAGGGAGUCAUUAUGCAUCACCGAGCAGGUAUCACCAAGCCUCAGACACAAUUAUUCAAACAGCAUCGAAAAGGGACAAAAACGUCCCUUGCAUCAUCUCCAUACCCCGCUGCAAUGCAUCAAAAAGAGAAGGGAGAGUCGUUACAACAAAGAUUUCAUGAAGACAAGGCUGGAUCAAACGAGAACCAGGGGCAAGUCCGCUUACACUUGGUGUUGACAUGGAUGAGGG